rnacentral:rRNA from 1 species
UACGUAGGGUGCGAGCGUUGAUCGGAAUUACUGGGCGUAAAGCGUGCGCAGGCGGUUUUGUAAGACAGGUGUGAAAUCCCCGGGCUUAACCUGGGAAUGGCAUUUGUGACUGCAAGGCUGGAGUACGGCAGAGGGGGAUGGAAUUUUGCAUGUAGCAGUGGAAUGCGUAGAUAUGCAAAGGAACACCGAUGGCGAAGGCAGUCCCCUGGGCCUGUACUGACGCUCAUGCACGAAAGCGUAGGGAGCAAACAGG